AACGAACGCUGGCGGCAUGCCUAACACAUGCAAGUCGAACGAGACCUUCGGGUCUAGUGGCGCACGGGUGCGUAACGCGUGGGAAUCUGCCCUUGGGUUCGGAAUAACAGUUAGAAAUGACUGCUAAUACCGGAUAAUGUCUUCGGACCAAAGAUUUAUCGCCCAGGGAUGAGCCCGCGUAGGAUUAGCUAGUUGGUGAGGUAAAGGCUCACCAAGGCGACGAUCCUUAGCUGGUCUGAGAGGAUGAUCAGCCACACUGGGACUGAGACACGGCCCAGACUCCUACGGGAGGCAGCAGUGGGGAAUAUUGGACAAUGGCGAAAGCCUGAUCCAGCAAUGCCGCGUGAGUGAUGAAGGCCUUAGGGUUGUAAAGCUCUUUUACCCGGGAUGAUAAUGACAGUACCGGGAGAAUAAGCCCCCGGCUAACUCCGUGCCAGCAGCCGCGGUAAU
rnacentral:rRNA from 1 species